rnacentral:rRNA from 1 species
CCUUCGGGUUGUAAAGCUCUGUUCGGAGGGGACGAAAAGCUUUUAGGUUAAUAGCCUGAGAGUCUGACGGUACCCUCAAAGGAAGCACCGGCUAACUUCGUGC